rnacentral:sRNA from 1 species
AGUGUUAUAUUUAGUUGUCUCUCAAAGUACUGCAUAACUGUAUAGUCACAUCCAGUCAUCCAGAUAUGUGAACGUAUGAUGUUUAUGGCUGUGAAUGGUAACUAAAACCGCACCCAAAACCGCAUCGCAACAGUGUUGUAACAGUAUCAAAAUCUCUAUAUAUACAUAUGUAUCUAUGUAUUUUCAUUACUAUUUGAACCGCACCGCACUUCUCCCGUACCGCAAAACGUAGUCACUAUUCGGAGCCUAUAUGUUAGACUGUUAGUACGUGAUACUAAGUAACUUUUAAUUAGACUGUUAGUACGUGAUAUUUAAAGUAACUUUUACAAAUGUGAGAAAAACCAUCAAGAAUAAAUCCAACCAUUCGAAGAUCCAUGGGG